UAUAAAUGUCCCUAGACUACCCGGCCAUCCAGAGGUCUGAAAGGGGCAAAUGGAUCAGCACCGUUCGUUCCACCUGCGCCAGUAAUUUUGCUUCCCCGCUUUUCACCUCAACCGUUCAAUACGGUAAAUGUUUUUUCACCAGUUGCUUCAGGUUCUUGGUGCAUGGCAACUGGGCCAGAGCGCGUGCGGGACCUUCAGGCAGAGAUAGCGGAGGCAGCUCAUUCCCGUCGGUCUUCUCCUAUCCAUGUGAUGCACCGGUGAAAACCUAGCGCCCCAAUCCCCCGUCUCGUCUCCUCCUCCAAUCCCCUCGCCUCACGCCGCUCCUCCAAUCCCCCGCGUCGUCCCUCGCCGCCUCGCCUCCUCGGCUCCUCCCCGAAUCCACUCCUACUCUCCUCCUCCCCCAACCUGAUGGCGGCAGCAGGUCGGCGAACGUGGUCAGUGGAUGGAGGAGAAUUUUGUGGAGGCGAGCAGCCGCAGAUCGGAUUUUUUCGCGGCCGUGGCGGCGCACAUGGAGGAACAACGCCCGCUCCUCGUGCUUGCCGCGUAGGAGGUUGGGGAGGACCAGGAGAAGGCACGCGGGGUUGGCCUUGGCUGGCCUGGUUCGUCGCGCGCGCGGGGAGACCGGCGGCGGCGGCCAGGGCCCGUCGACGAGCGCUUCCGCAGGAGGAAAAGAAGAAGAGGAGGUGGCGCUGGGAGACCGGCUAUGGCAACGGUCGGCGAGCUCCGCCACGAUCGACCACGAGCCGCCACCGCCGUCGGGCCUCUCCCCCUCAACCCACCCAGCGCUGGAGGUGGAGGAGCGGUCAAGGGUGGCGCUGGGACGGAGGAGGAGGAGCAUGGAUUUGGCGCCGACGAGCUUCUCCACGAUCGGUCCAUGCCUGAGAUGGCGGGGGCACGGUAUGUGUGAUGGGGCUGCUCCGUGAAAUCCAUGGACGGCACCUCGCUGACGGGAUCUGGCCCCAUUUGGGAGGCUCGUGGGUGGCAGCGACAAUGAUGUUGUUGGAGAGGAUGCGGGAGGAGGAGGGAGACGGAGCUGUGCUGGCCGCUCAGCGCCUCGCCCCCACCCUCGUCGGCUCCCGACGCCAGUCCUACGCUGUGGAGACUACGAGCACGUCUGAGAUGGAAAGGCCAGAGGAUUUCCAUGGCUAGGAAGCUGGAUAAAAUCUCCAAGCUGAACUCCCCGGUUGUUUGAUUUGAUUUGAUUUGAGGAGUGGAGUAGAACCACUCACCAUUCCCAGGCCAUCUCGCCCCCAAACUUUCGUUAUUUGAAAACUCAUUGAUUUGUUUUGCUGAAAAUAUCAGUGCUCUUUGAUGUGAUGAGUAGCUUCGUAUUCAACUAUGCCCUUCGUAUUCAACUAUGCCUAUUCUAAUUUGGUUAUUUUGUAUUUACUGACAGACAUGCCAAAGAGACACAUGCGACUAAAUGAGGUCACCGCCACGCCUGGCCGCGGGUGGUUGGAUGAUGGCGGCGGUCGCAUAGCACGUGCCGAGCAAUGGCAGUGAGCGUGCGUCAAGCAUGUUGUUUCAGAGAUACUAAAACACUUUCAUAGAUGGCUAUAAGCUUUGGUUUUGGGUGUCUCUGUUUCGACAAGGUUACCUGUGCCAGGAUGAGCAUUGGGUGUUCUGAUCCAUGGGCAUGGUUGUUUCCCGUGUGGUUCUGGUUGAGGCCAUGUGAGAAAGUUCUGUACUUAUCACUUAAAGUACUUGAUUGAAAUUACUUGCCUUUGUGUCCUUUUGUUCCCUGUUUUGCUCACCAACCUGGACGCUGGAGCGGUGGAGGCUCACUGGAGGUGGAUGGCCGGAAGGCCGGCAUGCUUAGGAGGCGGGGGUCAGGCGGCGGCGGGGCUGCGGUUCGUUCAGGGAAGGCAGAGAAGAAGGAACGGAUAAAGGAUCCCAACGGCCUCGACUGAGGACGGAGCUCGCGAGGUGGGAGGGGACCUGCUCUAGCGCAUCUCCUGUCUCCUUGAUGGCGGAUGGUUCUUGAUGGCGGAGGAUUUGGCCGGUGGGUGGUCGCUCAGCUUGGAGCCAAGAAGGGUGCACUACGGGGCGAUGGCGGGGCGGCGAGGCCAUGCCCGAGAAAGAUAUGUCCACUGACGUGCACACUCCAGUCCUGCAGAUUCAGGUAGAUAUGAUAUUUCCACGUAGGAUUUGGAUGUUUAGCAGAUUCUCUAACAGCGAGCAACCACCAUUGUGUUUGUGAACUGCAGGUAUGCUCAUCCUAUUUCUUUCCCUUGCAGAUUUCGCUAUCUCCAUAUGCAAACAGGACGAGGAAGAGGGCGGCAUCAGGCAAAAAUCAAGAAGGCAACAUUUGAAAUCCUUUGUGCCCUCCUCUCUGGUGGCUCGUGACUUUCUACCUUCGUCAGGUGUCCGGGAUUCCUAGCAUCCAUGAACAUUGCAGCCCAUAGGGUUUCGAUGUCCAGAAGAUUCUUACACGGUCGCCAUUGGCGUUCAUGGUGCUCAUGGAUGAUGCAAAAUAGUUGAUGUGCCAUUGUGGAUCGGCAUCAUGGCGAACGGCAGGCCAAGGCACUGCUGGUGUCGGAUUCUGCGGAGACUAGCCUUGGCAGGCAGUAGUUUUCUUUAUUUCUGCCAGAGUUCUACGCUAGAGAAAGGAAAACUCUCCCAGUUGGCUUUUCCUCCAUCGAAUCAAGCCAUUAUCAAGACAUCAACACUUCCCCGUCAUGAGACUUCAUCCAUCUCCAUAGUCAUCGACAAGCCUCCUAGCUGGACUCCACCCUCAAGAGUCAACAUGCUAAGACAGUACAGAAUUCUUCCGUGUAUAUAAGAAGAGAGAACGAGUCCACAACCACCGAAGAUGCAGUAGGCGAUGUUCAUGAUGACGUGGGAUCCCCAGAUCCAUGCAUUGUAGAUUCCGAUGGCAUUACUGCUGGUAAACCAUCGGUGGAACGUGAGGGGUACAAAGAGGUCAAGCUCGAGAAGGACCAUCCUCGGAGGAGAUGAAAGACCCCAAGGCGAAGAUGGCAGCCUUGAGUGAUGCUUUGAAGGCAGUGGACAUCGAGAUGGAAGAGUUGGAGUCGAGUGUAAUGCACAAGCUAUGCAUCAUAUAGUGAAUGCACCAUGGUGACUGUCAACAAUAUGUGCACGACUUUAGUAACAUAUUUUUGUUUCUGUUUUGAGAACAUCUUCGGGGACAUUUUUGUUUUGGUUUGAGUAGAGUUCGUGGGGACUAAUCCAAAACAAAUAAAUGCGCACGUAAUAGA